rnacentral:rRNA from 1 species
CCUACGGGAGGCAGCAGUGGGGAAUAUUGGGCAAUGGAGGAAACUCUGACCCAGCGACGCCGCGUGCGGGAUGAAGGCCUUCGGGUUGUAAACCGCUUUCAGCAGGGAAGAAGCGAAAGUGACGGUACCUGCAGAAGAAGCACCGGCUAACUAUGUGCCAGCAGCCGCGGUAAUACAUAGGGUGCAAGCGUUGUCCGGAAUUAUUGGGCGUAAAGAGCUCGUAGGUGGUUCGUCACGUCGGAUGUGAAAAUCUGGGGCUUAACCCCAGACCUGCAUUCGAUACGGGCGAGCUUGAGUAUGGUAGGGGAGUCUGGAAUUCCUGGUGUAGCGGUGGAAUGCGCAGAUAUCAGGAGGAACACCAAUGGCGAAGGCAGGACUCUGGGCCAUUACUGACACUGAGGAGCGAAAGCGUGGGGAGCGAACAGGAUUAGAUACCCUGGUAGUCCACGCCGUAAACGGUGGGCACUAGUUGUGGGGACCUUCCACGGUCUCUGCGACGCAGCUAACGCAUUAAGUGCCCCGCCUGGGGAGUACGAUCGCAGNUUAAAACUUAAAGGAAUUGACGG